rnacentral:sRNA from 1 species
UAAGAUGAUAUUUUCUGACAACCCACUUGGUCUGACUUGUGGAAUGGUAUGUCCAACCUCUGAUCUUUGUGUAGGUGGAUGCAAUUUAUAUGCCACUGAAGAGGGACCCAUUAAUAUUGGUGGAUUGCAGCAAUUUGCUACUGAGACUUUGAUCCUGGCUUUCUCUUUAAUGAAUCAUUUGUAAAGACUUUGAUUCUCCAGACACUCUUGGGCUCUCUGACGUCUCCUAUUUGGAGUCAACAAGCAGGUAUUCAAAGCAAUGAGUAUCCCACAGAUCAGAAAUCCUUCCCUGCCUCCCCCAGAAAAAAUGUCUGAAGCCUAUUCUGCAAAGAUUGCUCUUUUUGGUGCUGGGCCUGCAAGUAUAAGUUGUGCUUCCUUUUUGGCUCGAUUGGGAUACUCUGACAUCACUAUAUUUGAAAAACAAGAAUAUGUUGGUGGUUUAAGUACUUCUGAAAUUCCUCAGUUCCGGCUGCCGUAUGAUGUAGUGAAUUUUGAGAUUGAGCUAAUGAAGGACCUUGGUGUAAAGGUAAAUGAAAAAAACACCUAUCUGUGUACUGCUCAAAAAGAAAGGAGUAAGCUCUACACUAAAGAUUAACAGCAAAUGUCACGUAUUUUAGGAAAGAACAAUUAAAAGCUACAACAGGCAGAAGCAGAAAGAUGCUUCCCCUUGCUUAGGGCAUUUGUCUGUCUACUGUCUGAAUGCCACUAGCCUGGAAAAGGGCAAUCAAUAGUUCUCAUCUGGCAUGCCUGCAUGUGAUUAAUUGUCUGUAAGAAACACAUUCCUAAAUUGCUUUAGGGGUUCAGUGCAGCUAAUAGAAGGAUUCGGUUUCUUUAAUCACGUUUUUUCAUGCAAGUUGUGUGCACUCUGAAACAUUAGUAUUUCACAAUUUGGAACAUAAUUUCUUACGGAGAUUUAUUUUAUUUAUUAUAUUCGUCAUGUCAGUAGUGUGAAUGUGAUAAUCCUUUCUCAACACAAGCAGUAAAUCAGUGGGAUAGAAAGCAACAGCUUCGUAUUUUUUAUUAUUUUGUUAAAUAA